GUUAAGGUGGCAGAGCCCGGUAAUUGUAUAAAACUUAAAACUUUACUAUCAGAGGUUCAAUUCCUCUUCUUAACA
rnacentral:tRNA from 1 species